rnacentral:rRNA from 1 species
UACAGAGGGUGCGAGCGUUGUCCGGAAUCACUGGGCGUAAAGGGCGCGUAGGUGGCCUGAUAAGUAGGGGGUGAAAUCCUGCGGCUUAACCGCAGGGCUGCCUUCUAAACUGUCAGGCUAGAGCACGGUAGAGGCAGAUGGAAUUCCCGGUGUAGCGGUGGAAUGCGUAGAGAUCGGGAAGAACAUCAGUGGCGAAGGCGGUCUGCUGGGCCGUUGCUGACGCUGAGGCGCGACAGCGUGGGGAGCAAACAGG